AAUGGAGCUGACAGAUCCAACCUCAAUACUGGUUUUCAAGUUUUGAAACUAAUUUGGUGGUGGCAAGUCCACUGGUUUCGGUUUGAUCUACGAUUCUGUAGAUAGCGCCAAGAAGUACGAGCCCAAGUAUAGGCUUAUCAGGAAUGGACUUGAUACCAAGGUGGAGAAGUCAAGAAAGCAAAUGAAAGAAAGGAAGAACAGGUCCAAGAAGAUUCGUGGUGUUAAGAAGACUAAAGCUGGAGAUGCUGCCAAAGCUGGGAAGAAGAAAUGAAGAGGAGAUGGAGUCAGAUUUUGUGCUUACUUUUUUGCUAGUACUCUUUAUACUUUAAUUUCAUUUUCUUAUGAGUGGGUGAGGUACUUUAGGUACCUUGUUUAGAUUUGAGUUCUUUUGUUUUCUGGAGUUUUGACGUUUACUAAGAGCAGAUCUGAUUUUACAACCAGCAUGCAGCAAUUUUCGUUGGCCA